GACCUCAGAUCAGGUGAGACUACCCGCCGAAUUUAAGCAUAUUAAUAAGCGGAGGAAAAGAAACUAACAA
rnacentral:rRNA from 1 species